UACGAGGGGGGGCGAGCGUUGUUCGGAAUUACUGGGCGUAAAGGGCGCGUAGGCGGCGCAACAAGUCACUUGUGAAAUCUCCGGGCUUAACCCGGAGCGGCCAAGUGAUACUGUCGUGCUAGAGUGCGGAAGGGGCUACUGGAAUUCUCGGUGUAGCGGUGAAAUGCGUAGAUAUCGAGAGGAACACCUGCGGCGAAGGCGGGUUGCUGGGCUGAUACUGACGCUGAGGCGCGAAAGCUAGGGGAGCGAAUGGG
rnacentral:rRNA from 1 species